CGCUCCAUCGAAUGGAUUAACCUUCGCUCUGGAUAUACUGGAUGCCCUUUUGGAUUACAGGACUACCCUCUUUAGCGCCUUUGAAUGGAUAAACAAAGUGCAUGUCCUACAUGGAUUACAGCCGUAUAGCGCAUCAUAAAAGAAUGGUAGCCAACAUUUCGGCCACACCAAGGAGUAUGGUGACAUGGUAUUUAUCGCAAGUCCUAUCCCAAACCAACAAAGUCGAUCAACUAUUGCAAGUCGCAGCUCUGGCCAGGGAAAGUACGUCACCUGACCUGUGAUUCGAAACACAACAUCGAAGUGGGCCCUGAAAUAUCACUUGGAGUCGUUCAGAACUGGCUCUGGAAAUCAUUCAGUACGAAUAUCUGGAGAGAGCGGCACAACACAGAGAACGGCAGCAAAUUUUGAAAGCACAGGGAACAUAAAGUGCUGGAAUAAGAUGAAUCCAACUAUUAACAAUCCACGUUCCCCAUUCACCCGCUCGCGGGGUAUUUUCGGAUCCAUGGGCCCCUCGCCUUUACCGACCAGCAGCAGCAGCAGCAGCCGGGGCUGCAGGUCCCCCCCGAAGGUUCCGCCGACAAGAAUGGACUCAA